rnacentral:rRNA from 1 species
AACGAACGCUGGCGGCAUGCCUAACACAUGCAAGUCGAACGAUGGUCUUCGGAUCAUAGUGGCGCACGGGUGCGUAACGCGUGGGAAUCUGCCCUUGGGUUCGGAAUAACAGUUGGAAACGACUGCUAAUACCGGAUGAUGUCGAUAAGACCAAAGAUUUAUCGCCCGAGGAUGAGCCCGCGUCGGAUUAGCUAGUUGGUGGGGUAAAGGCCUACCAAGGCGACGAUCCGUAGCUGGUCUGAGAGGAUGAUCAGCCACACUGGGACUGAGACACGGCCCAGACUCCUACGGGAGGCAGCAGUGGGGAAUAUUGGACAAUGGGCGCAAGCCUGAUCCAGCAAUGCCGCGUGAGUGAUGAAGUCCUUAGGGUUGUAAAGCUCUUUUACCCGGGAAGAUAAUGACGGUACCGGGAGAAUAAGCCCCGGCUAACUCCGUG